rnacentral:rRNA from 1 species
UACGGGGGGGGCAAGCGUUGUUCGGAAUUACUGGGCGUAAAGGGCUCGUAGGCGGCCAACUAAGUCAGACGUGAAAUCCCCAGGCUCAACCUGGGAACUGCGUCUGAUACUGGAUGGCUUGAAUCCGGGAGAGGGAUGCAGAAUUCCAGGUGUAGCGGUGAAAUGCGUAGAUAUCUGGAGGAAUACCGGUGGCGAAGGCGGCAUCCUGGACCGGCACUGACGCUGAGGAGCGAAAGCCAGGUGAGCAAACGGG